rnacentral:rRNA from 1 species
UACAGAGGGGGCAAGCGUUGUUCGGAAUUACUGGGCGUAAAGGGUUCGUAGGUGGCUUGCUAAGUCAGAUGUGAAAUCCCUCAGCUUAACUGGGGAACUGCGUCUGAGACUGGUGAGCUUGAGUGCAGGAGAGGAACGCGGAAUUCCAGGUGUAGCGGUGAAAUGCGUAGAUAUCUGGAGGAACACCGGUGGCGAAGGCGGCAUCCUGGACCAACACUGACGCUGAGGAGCGAAAGCCAGGGGAGCAAACGGG